rnacentral:tRNA from 1 species
CGCGGGGUAGAGCAGCUUGGUAGCUCGUCAGGCUCAUAACCUGAAGGUCGUAGGUUCAAAUCCUACCCCCGCAA